rnacentral:rRNA from 1 species
AGUGGCGGACGGGUGAGUAACGCGUGAGAAUCUGCCUUGGGGUCGGGGACAACCACUGGAAACGGUGGCUAAUACCGGAUAAGCCGAUUGGUGAAAGAUUUAUUGCCCGAAGAGGAGCUCGCGUCUGAUUAGCUAGUUGGUGAGGUAAGAGCUCACCAAGGCAGCGAUCAGUAGCUGGUCUGAGAGGACGAUCAGCCACACUGGGACUGAGACACGGCCCAGACUCCUACGGGAGGCAGCAGUGGGGAAUUUUCCGCAAUGGGCGAAAGCCUGACGGAGCAAGACCGCGUGAGGGAGGAAGGCUCUUGGGUUGUAAACCUCUUUUCUCAGGGAAGAAGCUCUGACGGUACCUGAGGAAUCAGCCUCGGCUAACUCCGUGCCAGCAGCCGCUGUAAUACGGAGGAGGCAAGCGUUAUCCGGAAUUAUUGGGCGUAAAGCGUCCGCAGGUGGCGAUUCAAGUCUGCUGUCAAAGCACGGGGCUUAACUCCGUAAAGGCAGUGGAAACUGAAUAGCUAGAGUGCCGUAGCGGUAGAGGGAAUUCCCGGUGUAGCGGUGAAAUGCGUAGAGAUCGGGAAGAACAUCGGUGGCGAAAGCGCUCUACUGGACGGCAACUGACACUCAGGGACGAAAGCUAGGGGAGCGAAUGGGAUUAGAUACCCC